UUUUUUAAUUGAGGACUGGAAUGAAUGGUAAUUACCAAAGGGAUAGUUUUUUUUAAUAAGUUUGAAUUUAAUUUAAAAGUAAAAAAGCUUUUAUUAAUCUUUGGGACGAGAAGACCCUAGAAGUUUAAAAUAUAAUAUUUUUAAUUGGGGCAAUUGUUGAAGAUAUAAAUUUUUAAUAAUAUAAUAUAUUAUUUAAUAUGAAAUUACUCUAGGGAUAACAGCGUUAUUUAAUUUAUGAGUUCUUAUUAAAAAUUAAGUUUGCGACCUCGAUGUUGAAUUAAAA
rnacentral:rRNA from 1 species